GUGUCAGUGAUGUAACAGUUAGCAUUGUUGCCUUCCAAGCAGUCGAUCCGGGUUCGACUCCCGGCCGACACA
rfam:Octopus bimaculoides Scaffold29174_contig_41, whole genome shotgun sequence.